rnacentral:rRNA from 1 species
GACGAACGCUGGCGGCGUGCUUAACACAUGCAAGUCGAACGGAAAGGCCCUGCUUUUGUGGGGUGCUCGAGUGGCGAACGGGUGAGUAACACGUGAGUAACCUGCCCUUGACUUUGGGAUAACUUCAGGAAACUGGGGCUAAUACCGGAUAGGAGCUCCUGCUGCAUGGUGGGGGUUGGAAAGUUUCGGCGGUUGGGGAUGGACUCGCGGCUUAUCAGCUUGUUGGUGGGGUAGUGGCUUACCAAGGCUUUGACGGGUAGCCGGCCUGAGAGGGUGACCGGCCACAUUGGGACUGAGAUACGGCCCAGACUCCUACGGGAGGCAGCAGUGGGGAAUAUUGCACAAUGGGCGGAAGCCUGAUGCAGCAACGCCGCGUGCGGGAUGACGGCCUUCGGGUUGUAAACCGCUUUCGCCUGUGACGAAGCGUGAGUGACGGUAAUGGGUAAAGAAGCACCGGCUAACUACGUGCCAGCAGCCGCGGUGAUACGUAGGGUGCGAGCGUUGUCCGGAUUUAUUGGGCGUAAAGGGCUCGUAGGUGGUUGAUCGCGUCGGAAGUGUAAUCUUGGGGCUUAACCCUGAGCGUGCUUUCGAUACGGGUUGACUUGAGGAAGGUAGGGGAGAAUGGAAUUCCUGGUGGAGCGGUGGAAUGCGCAGAUAUCAGGAGGAACACCAGUGGCGAAGGCGGUUCUCUGGGCCUUUCCUGACGCUGAGGAGCGAAAGCGUGGGGAGCGAACAGGCUUAGAUACCCUGGUAGUCCACGCUGUAAACGGUGGGUACUAGGUGUGGGGUCCAUUCCACGGGUUCCGUGCCGUAGCUAACGCUUUAAGUACCCCGCCUGGGGAGUACGGCCGCAAGGCUAAAACUCAAAGGAAUUGACGGGGCCCCGCACAAGCGGCGGAGCAUGCGGAUUAAUUCGAUGCAACGCGUAGAACCUUACCUGGGUUUGACAUGGAUCGGGAGCGCUCAGAGAUGGGUGUGCCUCUUUUGGGGUCGGUUCACAGGUGGUGCAUGGCUGUCGUCAGCUCGUGUCGUGAGAUGUUGGGUUAAGUCCCGCAACGAGCGCAACCCUUGUUCACUGUUGCCAGCACGUUAUGGUGGGGACUCUGUGGAGACCGCCGGGGUCAACUCGGAGGAAGGUGGGGAUGACGUCAAGUCAUCAUGCCCCCUUAUGUCCAAGGCUUCACGCAUGCUACAAUGGCUGGUAACAGAGAGUGGCCAACCCUGUGAGGGUGAGCGAAUCUUCGGAAAGCCGGACCCAUUUCGGAUGGGGGUCUGCAACUCCACUUUCAUGAUUCCGAGUCCCUUGUAAUCGUCGAACAACCAUCGCUGCCGGGGGAAUACUUUCCCGGGG